UGCUGGCAACGUGCAAGAGAUGGU
rnacentral:piRNA from 1 species